rnacentral:rRNA from 1 species
UGGGGAAUAUUGCACAAUGGGCGCAAGCCUGAUGCAGCGACGCCGCGUGCGGGAUGGAGGCCUUCGGGUUGUAAACCGCUUUUGUUUGGGAGCAAGCCCUUCGGGGUGAGUGUACCUUUCGAAUAAGCACCGGCUAACUACGUGCCAGCAGCCGCGGUAAUACGUAGGGUGCGAGCGUUAUCCGGAUUUAUUGGGCGUAAAGGGCUCGUAGGCGGUUCGUCGCGUCCGGUGUGAAAGUCCAUCGCCUAACGGUGGAUCUGCGCCGGGUACGGGCGGGCUGGAGUGCGGUAGGGGAGACUGGAAUUCCCGGUGUAACGGUGGAAUGUGUAGAUAUCGGGAAGAACACCAAUGGCGAAGGCAGGUCUCUGGGCCGUUACUGACGCUGAGGAGCGAAAGCGUGGGGAGCGAACAGG